rnacentral:rRNA from 1 species
CACGUAGGGUGCGAGCGUUGUCCGGAAUUAUUGGGCGUAAAGAGCUCGUAGGCGGUGUGUCGCGUCGGCCGUGAAAACCUGCAGCUUAACUGUGGGCUUGCGGUCGAUACGGGCAUCACUGGAGUUCGGCAGGGGAGACUGGAAUUCCUGGUGUAGCGGUGAAAUGCGCAGAUAUCGAGGGAGGAACACCCGGUGGCGAAGGCGGUUCUCUGGG